rnacentral:rRNA from 1 species
GUGGGGAAUAUUGGGCAAUGGGCGAAAGCCUGACCCAGCAACGCCGCGUGAAGGAAGAAGGUCUUCGGAUCGUAAACUUCUAUCCUUGGUGAAGAUAAUGACGGUAGCCGAGAAGGAAGCCCCGGCUAACUACGUGCCAGCAGCCGCGGUAAUACGUAGGGGGCAAGCGUUGUCCGGCAUGAUUGGGCGUAAAGGGCGCGUAGGCGGCCUGGUAAGUCUGGAGUGAAAGUCCUGCUUUUAAGGUGGGAAUUGCUUUGGAUACUGUCGUGCUUGAGUGAAGGAGAGGUAAGUGGAAUUCCCGGUGUAGCGGUGAAAUGCGUAGAGAUCGGGAGGAACACCAGUGGCGAAGGCGACUUACUGGACUGUAACUGACGCUGAGGCGCGAAAGCGUGGGGAGCAAACAGGAUUAGAAACCCCAGUAGUCC